CUGACAGGGAGCUGGAAGGAGAGAAAAUGGGUGAAAUAUGGAGAGAAGUGACACGAACAAAGUCGCUCGAAAGUCUGCGUGGACUUCACUGAAGAUUUUCACAACUUGGAAUACUUUUUAUGUAUUUUUUUUAAUUAAAUCUGUGGACUCUUAAAGGACUAAAGGAAUAUAAGUAAUGGAUGAAUGGGCCGACAACCGAACCUCAAGACCUCUACAAAGACGUGACGACUUCCACAUCACACGGACCAAAGCAGACAGCGUGGUCCAAUCCCAGUGCCCCCCCUAAGGCCUGAGACCUGAACCUUCACAGACUUAAUUGACAUCACCUGACGUGACGACUUCCACAUCACACGGACCAAAGCAGACAGCGUAGGCCAAUCCCAGUGCCCCCCCUAAGGCCUGAGACCUGAACCUUCACAGACUUAAUUGACA